GGAGGAGUGGCCGAGUGGUCGAAGGCAGCGGUUUUGAAAACCGCCGUAGUGAAAGCUACCGGGAGUUCGAAUCUCUCCUCCUCCG
rnacentral:tRNA from 1 species